UGAUGAAACGAUGUAACAAAUGUCAAUAAUGCACCUAGCGUAGACUGGGAGAAAAGGCUGUAGGUGUAUGUGGCCAGAGAAGCCUGACCCAGACUAAGAGGCCUUGGAGUAUAAAGUAGCUGAGGGAGAAUCUGACUUAGGAGGCAUGCUGGCCCGCACCUGGCCCUCAAAGGCUCACUAGGCUGUCACCAGGUUUUGCGUUGGCAGUGGUAGUUGCUGUGGCUGGUCUUUGGAGCCCACCUAACUUCAAGUCCCAUCAUCUCACCUGGUUUAGGUGUAACACUGACCACAAGAGCCACAUACUUUCAUUUUGUACUCAUCAUGGAGACUUUAUAUUUUGACACGUUUGCGCCAGUCUAGGACAUUGGCUUUGAAGUCGGUAGAAUUUUAAUAAUGGAAUGGACGAUUCCCAGUUGUAGAAACUAAGGAACUUGUGUUGCCAAGUCUUUCCCAGAGACAGAUCUUAAUUUUGAGAGGAGCAGUUUCCAUCACUGACCUCACCUAGUAAGAUUUGCUGUCUUCUGUGCUAUCUUUAAAUUUUUAAAGCAUCCUGUUUUUAAGCAUGUACGUAGAACAUGUACAUAUUUAAAAAUAAAUACAAUUAAAAGGCCUAUAAUUAAAAACACUGAACUUGUGGGGUUUUUCCUAGUCUUAACGUUUGUAAUUAAGAUGCUUAUUCUUAUAUCUUGAUUUAUUAAUUUUAGACAUUGGCUUCCUGUUAUACUAAAAGAGAAGUAUUUAAUUUUAUGACCCUCAUAUAACCCAAUGAUAUGCUGGAGCGUAUUUCAUCUGCCAGUGUGAGCUGAUUGUUAAAUUGUAUAAGCCAAGUAUUAAACAGUCAUUAGUUUCAAAAUUGGCCACCGCGCGAGUAUUUACUCUAUGGAAAUCAGCAAAUGUCACCAGAGUUACCUGCCCUUGAACCCUCUGAGCUAAUGAAGGAUUCGCCAGCACACUAUUGUUCUCCCACCAGAUUCCCUUAACUGUAGUUAAUCUAAAAGAGUUUCAUUUUAAUGAUUGUGGUAAUUUGUUUUUUGAAACAGGGUCUCUGUCACUCAGGCUAGAGUGCAAUGGUGCAAUCACUGCUCACUGCAGUCUCAACCGCUCCAGACUCAAGCGAUCCUCCCACCUCAGCCUCCUAAGUAUCUGAGACUAUAGAUGUGAGCCACUGUGCCCAGCUACUUUUUUUGUGCGUUUUUUUUAGAGACAAGGUUUUGCUAUGUUGCCCAUGCUGGUCUCGAACUCCUGCACUCAAGCCAUCUGCUCGCUUUCUUGGCCUUUCAAGAGUGUUGGGAUUACAGGCGUGAGCCACCAUGCACAGCCUAUGGUACAUUUUGUUCUCUGCAUAGCCGUGGCAUACCAAAAUUAUUGACUUCCUUGUUAUACAUGGAGUUAGUAAUUGCCUCAUUGUAAUCAGCCUGACACCACCUGAACCUAGCAGACAAUUCACUAAAGUAAGACAACCAAUAAUUAUGUGCCUGUAAAGUAU
rnacentral:lncRNA from 1 species